CCGGCCGGCCGGACCGGCGCGACGGGUGAGUAACACGUAUGCAACCUGGCCGUGACAGAUGGAUAACCGGGAGAAAUCCCGCCUAAUACAACAUAAUGCCGGGAGGGGACAUCCCCUGCCGGUCAAAGGGGGCGACCCCGGUCAUGGAUGGGCAUGCGGCGCAUUAGGUAGUUGGUGGGGCAACGGCCCACCAAGCCGACGAUGCGUAGGGGUUCUGAGAGGAAGGUCCCCCACAUUGGAACUGAGACACGGUCCAAACUCCUACGGGAGGCAGCAG
rnacentral:rRNA from 1 species